GCUUCUGUGGCCUAGUGGUUAGAGGGUCUGCCUCUUAUGCAGGUGGUCGCGGGUUUCAACACCAGCUAAAUUAUACCAAAGACA